AUUGAACGCUGGCGGCAUGCCUUACACAUGCAAGUCGAACGGUAACAGGUUAAGCUGACGAGUGGCGAACGGGUGAGUAAUACAUCGGAACGUGCCCAGUAGUGGGGGAUAGCCCGGCGAAAGCCGGAUUAAUACCGCAUACGACCUACGGGUGAAAGGGGGGAUCGCAAGACCUCUCGCUAUUGGAGCGGCCGAUGUCAGAUUAGGUAGUUGGUGGGGUAAAGGCCUACCAAGCCUACGAUCUGUAGCUGGUCUGAGAGGACGACCAGCCACACUGGGACUGAGACACGGCCCAGACUCCUACGGGAGGCAGCAGUGGGGAAUUUUGGACAAUGGGCGCAAGCCUGAUCCAGCCAUGCCGCGUGCGGGAAGAAGGCCUUCGGGUUGUAAACCGCUUUUGUCAGGGAAGAAACGCUCCAAGAUAAUACCUUGGGGUAAUGACGGUACCUGAAGAAUAAGCACCGGCUAACUACGUGCCAGCCGCCGCCGUAACAC
rnacentral:rRNA from 1 species